GCUUCUUCUGCAAUCCAUGAUUUUGAAAGUUCUGGAAGUAACACUUCAAUGUCCUCCACUAUAGCAAGCUCAUUGACAAAGCCUGGGAAGACAUCACCUACCAGGCCUUAAACUCAGCCUGGAGGAAGCUGUGGCCAGAAUGUGUCACUGAACAUGACUUUAAAGGGCCUGAUGCACAGGUGGUGGAGGAGAUUGUGUCCACGGGCAGGAGUAUGGGUCUGGGCAUCAACGGUGCAGACAGAGGAGCUCGUUGAGGACCAUAAGGAGGAGCUGAGGAUGGAAGAACUUGCUGAACUCCAUAGAGAGCAGCAGGAGGCACUUGCUGAGGAGCGUUCUAUUGAGGGAGAGGAAGACAGCAGGAGUCUGCAGAGACCAUGAGAAGCAAAGCUGUUUAUCCAGCUUCAGAAAAUGCACCUGGACAAAAGAGAAAUAUGCAUUCCAUGUUCCACUUUACGUCCUGCCUGCACUUAGAUCUUUGCUCAAAUUUUUUGUACAGUGGUGCCAGUUAUUU
rnacentral:lncRNA from 1 species